AUUGAACGCUGGCGGCGUGCCUAACACAUGCAAGUCGAGCGGUAACAGGUGUAGCAAUACAUGCUGACGAGCGGCGGACGGGUGAGUAACGCUUGGGAAUCUGCCUAUUAGUGGGGGACAACCCGGGGAAACUCGGGCUAAUACCGCAUACGCUCUACGGAGGAAAGCCGGGGACCGCAAGGCCUGGCGUUAAUAGAUGAGCCCAAGUCGGAUUAGCUAGUUGGUAGGGUAAUGGCCUACCAAGGCGACGAUCCGUAACUGGUCUGAGAGGACGACCAGUCACACCGGAACUGAGACACGGUCCGGACUCCUACGGGAGGCAGCAGUGGGGAAUAUUGGACAAUGGGCGAAAGCCUGAUCCAGCGACGCCGCGUGGGUGAAGAAGGCCUGCGGGUU
rnacentral:rRNA from 1 species